rnacentral:rRNA from 1 species
GACGAACGCUGGCGGCGUGCUUAACACAUGCAAGUCGAACGGAAAGGCCCUGCUUUUGUGGGAUGCUCGAGUGGCGAACGGGUGAGUAACACGUGAGUAACCUGCCCUUGACUUUGGGAUAACUUCAGGAAACUGGGGCUAAUACAGGAUAGGAGCUCCUGCUGCAUGGUGGGGGUUGGAAAGGUUCGGCGGUUGGGGAUGGACUCGCGGCUUAUCAGCUUGUUGGUGGGGUAGUGGCUUACGAAGGCUUUGACGGGUAGCCGGCCUGGGAGGGUGACCGGCCACAUUGGGAUUGAGGUACGGCCCAGACUCCUACGGGAGGCAGCAGUGGGGAAUAUUGCACAAUGGGCGGAAGCCUGAUGCAGCAACGCCGCGUGCGGGAUGACGGCCUUCGGGUUGUAAACCGCUUUCGCCUGUGACGAAGCGUGAGUGACGGUAAUGGGUAAAGAAGCACCGGCUAACUACGUG